UGUGUGGCUCUCUGUACAUCUGCGGGUGUGGCUGGGGUCAUUCCGCGCAGACACCGCGGCUUUUGUCUGCAUCUGGACGAGUGGCUG
rfam:Pteropus alecto contig31841, whole genome shotgun sequence.